GCCUGAGUAGCUCAGCUGGCCAGAGCAGCGGUUUUGUAAACCGCAGGUCAGGAGUUCGAAUCUCCUCUCAGGCU
rnacentral:tRNA from 1 species